rnacentral:misc_RNA from 1 species
AAGCAGAGUGCCCCUUAUGCAGGUUCAUCCCUGAUAUGUCAAAGAUGUCAUUGGACAUUCCUUUGUAAUACCAAACAGUCCGUGCUAAAGGUAAAUG